ACCGGCGGACGGCUCAGUAACACGUCGGUAACCUACCCUCGGGAGGGGGAUAACCCCGGGAAACUGGGGCUAAUCCCCCAUAGGCCUGAGGUACUGGAAGGUCCUCAGGCCGAAAGGGGCUUUUGCCCGCCCGAGGAUGGGCCGGCGGCCGAUUAGGUAGUUGGUGGGGUAACGGCCCACCAAGCCGAAGAUCGGUACGGGCUGUGAGAGCAGGAGCCCGGAGAUGGACACUGAGACACGGGUCCAGGCCCUACGGGGCGCAGCAGGCGCGAAACCUCCGCAAUGCGGGAAACCGCGACGGGGGGACCCCGAGUGCCGUGGCACCGCCACGGCUUUUCUGGAGUGUAAAAAGCUCCAGGAAUAAGGGCUGGGCAAGGCCGGUGGCAGCCGCCGCGGUAAUACCGGCGGCCCGAGUGGUGGCCGCUAUUAUUGGGCCUAAAGCGUCCGUAGCCGGGCCCGUAAGUCCCUGGCGAAAUCCCACGGCUCAACCGUGGGGCUUGCUGGGGAUACUGCGGGCCUUGGGACCGGGAGAGGCGGGGGGUACCCCUGGGGUAGGGGUGAAAUCCUAUAAUCCCAGGGGGACCGCCAGUGGCGAAGGCGCCCCGCUGGAACGGUCCGACGGUGAGGGACGAAGACCAGG
rnacentral:rRNA from 1 species